rnacentral:lncRNA from 1 species
AUGAACUAUUGUUCACUUCAUUAUUUCUUUAAAAACAUUUUCUGUGUUUCAAAUUUGAUCUUCUUACAGGUGACAAAGAUGUCAUUUUGGAAUCCGAACCGGACACGGAGCUGCCUAUUUACUCACCGUUUGAGAUUCAAUUACCAGCCUCCACGUGCAACGUCAUCAUCCUUCCCUCGUUUCACCGCCCAGACACGAGAAAGUCGGUUUGCCCAAGUGCAAGUGCACGGCCACACCCAAGUCUCACCUAAUGCAUCCCCACCACGAUUGCCUGACACUCGGAAUCAGAGUUCCCCUACUAGAUCGCCUCGAAGCCCGACUGAUCUUCCCCCCAGGCGUUCUUCUAGACAAAGCCCCUCCACAAUCCGUUCGCCUCGAGAUCCUUCACCACGCGGUCGUUCGCCUAAAGAUCGUUCGCCUAACGGUCGUUCGCCUAACGGUCGUUCGCCUAACGAUCGCUCGUCUCGAGAUCGUUCGCCUCGUCAUUCGCCCCUACAAACAUGCGCUCCCUCACCGCCUGAAGUAUCUGGUGGAGGAUCGCCUAAGGCAUCUGGUGGAAUAUCACUUAAAGCACCCCGUGGAGGAUCGCCUAAAGUAGCUGGUGGAGGAUGGCCUAAAUCCAAUCCUGAAGUCUCACGUGACGCGCUAUCCAAACAAGCGGCAACACAAAUACUGGCCGGGGUUGCGAGUAGUCGCCGACCGAAGACCCCGAUCAAUGACGCCUCGGCGGCUCCACCAAGAAGCCGUGCCUAUAGCCCUCCAAAAGUUGAACCCCAAACUGAACCCAAAGCCCCACCUAAAAGCCGGUUUAAAAGCACCCCUAGACGCCCUCCAACUCCCCCUCCGAAUGACCUCCCAUCGCUCAGAGGACCCCAUGGAUAUAGACGGCCGGGUAUGCAGAGAAUCUUUCAUCAAAUUAGUAUGGGCCGCUUUCCAAGUCAAUGUCAAAAUCCGACAUUCCAAUUCCGACAUUCCGACCAAAUCCAUGCUCCCCAAUUUGAUCCCCCAUUAGUGCCGACUGCUGAACAACAGCCUCAUGAUCCGGUUCAACGGCAAUCUCCAACAAGAAUUACUCCAAUGCCUGGGCCGGAGCCUUCUGUCCAGACCGAGGAUCCCCAUCAGUUUUUCCAUAGGAUGUCGAAGAAAUUGAUGGAAUACUUCACGGAUAAAAUUGAACCUCCUACCCAAGAGGAAUUUGAUGCCAUGCUAGACGAGUAUGCUCUAGCUAAGCAGAAAAUUAAGAGGAGAGAAACUGUUGAAGAUUCCCAGGAAUUUCUUCUGAUGCAUUGUCUGCCAGAUAUAUCAGAAGACGGCUACGAACCCAGUAAGUGA